rnacentral:rRNA from 1 species
GUCUACGGCCAUACCACCCUGAACGUGCCCAAUCUCGUCUGAUCUCGAAGCUAAGCAGGGUCAGGCCUGGUUAGUACUUGGAUGGGAGAAACAACUUAGAUGACCAGUGAUUAACU